GAAUGUGCCGGGUAGCCUAGUGGUCAUGGUAUCUGCCCGGUAAGCGGAACACUGGGUUUAAUUCCCAUCCCAUUUA